AAUAGAUACCCAGGUAGUCCUAGCCGUAAACGAUGGGUACUAGGUGUAGGUGGUUUCGAUACCAUCUGUGCCGUAGUUAACGCAUUAAGUACCCCGCUUGGGGAGUACGGUCGCAAGACUGAAACUCAAAGGAAUUGACGGGGGCCCGCACAAGCGGUGGAGCAUGUGGUUUAAUUCGAAGCAACGCGAAGAACCUUACCAGGUCUUGACAUCACCUAGAAGAGUGUGGAAACAUACUCGUCCUUUGGACUGGGUGACAGGUGGUGCAUGGUUGUCGUCAGCUCGUGUCGUGAGAUGUUGGGUUAAGUCCCGCAACGAGCGCAACCCUUGUCCUUAGUUGCCAGCAUUAAGUUGGGCACUCUAAGGAGACUGCCGGUGACAAAUCGGAGGAAGGUGGGGAUGACGUCAAAUCAUCAUGCCCCUUAUGACCUGGGCUACACACGUGCUACAAUGGGCGGUACAGAGGGCAGCGAAGGGGUGACCCGGAGCGAAUCCCAGAAAGCCGCUCUCAGUUCGGAUUGCAGGCUGCAACUCG
rnacentral:rRNA from 1 species